AUGAAAUUAAAAUUAUUAAAUAUAAUUUUAUCAAUAAUAAAUAAACUUAAUAAUAAUAAUAAUAUUAUUAUUAAUAAUCUAUUAGAUUCAUUAAUAAAUAAGAAAUUAUUAUUAAAGAAUAUAUUAUUAGAUAUAAAUAAUAAAAAAAUAAAUAAUAUAAAAAGAAUAUUAAAUAAUAAUAAUAUAAAUAUUAAUAAUAAAUUACAACAUUUAAAUAAUAUAAAUAAUUGAAAUCUACAAAUUUAUAAUUAUAAUAAAAAUAUAGAAAUUAUAAAUACUAUAAAUGAUAAAUUAAUUAAUAAAUUAUUAUAUAAAAUAAUAACUUUAAAAUUAAAUAAUAUAAACCCCGCGGGACCAAUCCGGUGAACAACCGGAUUGGCGCCCGCGGGGAAUAUUAAUAAAAUUAUUAUAAGUAAACUUAUUAAUCAACAUAGUUUAAAUAAAUUAAAUAUUAAAUUUUAUUAUUAUAAUAAUGAUAUUAAUAAUAAUAAUAAUAAUAAUAAUAAUAAUAAUAAUUAUUAUAUAAAUAUAAUAAAUAAAUUAAUAAAUAUUAUAAAUAAUAAUAUAAAUAAUAAUUUAUGUAAUAUUUUAAGUUAUUAUUAUAAUAAAAAAGUAACUAUUGAACCUAUUAAAUUAUCAUAUAUUUAUUUAAAUAGUGAUAUUUUUAGUAAAUAUAUUAGUUUAAAUGAUAUAGAUAAAUAUAAUAAUGGUAUCUUAACUAAUUAUCAACGUAUAUUAAAUAAUAUUAUGCCUAAAUUAAAUGAUCAUAAUAUUUCUAUAAAUUAUAUUAAUAAUAUUAAUAAUAUUAAUAAUAAUAAAUAUAAUAAUAUAAUUAAUUUAUUAAAUAAUAAUAAUAAUAUUAAUAAUAAUAAUAAUUAUAAUAAUAAUAAUAAUAAUUAUAUUGGUAAUAUUAAUAAUAUUUAUAAUAAUAUAACUAUUGAUAAUAUUCCUAUAGAUAUUUUAAUAUAUAAAUAUUUAGUUGGUUGAUCUAUUAAAUUUAAAGGUAGAUUAAGUAAUAAUAAUGGUAGAACUAGUACACUUAAUUUAUUAAAUGGUACUUUUAAUAAUAAAAAAUAUUUAUGAAGUAAUAUUAAUAAUAAUUAUAAAUUAAAUUAUAUCCCUUCUAAUCAUAAUUUAUAUAAUAAUUCUAAUAUUAAUAAAAAUGGUAAAUAUAAUAUUAAAGUUAAAUUAAACUUUAUUUAA
rnacentral:rRNA from 1 species